GCAUCCAUGGAGCAGUAGUUUAGCUCACUCCCCUCCCACGCCGGACAGGGAGAGACCCGGGUGCAAACCCCGGUGGAUGCA